rnacentral:rRNA from 1 species
UACGUAGGGUGCGAGCGUUAAUCGGAAUUACUGGGCGUAAAGCGUGCGCAGGCGGCUUUGCAAGACAGAUGUGAAAUCCCCGGGCUCAACCUGGGAACUGCAUUUGGGACUGCAAGGCUAGAGUACGGCAGAGGGGGAUGGAAUUCCGCGUGUAGCAGUGAAAUGCGUAGAUAUGCGGAGGAACACCAAUGGCGAAGGCAAUCCCCUGGGCCUGUACUGACGCUCAUGCACGAAAGCGUGGGGAGCAAACAGG